AAUAACCUAGAAGCAUUACAGGUCUGGCUGCCAUGCCACAUGUAUGUCAGAAAGUGGCACAGAGGAGAGAGGCUGUGUCUAUGCUCAGUGUUCUGACCUGUUGCCUUCUGAAUAAUUAAUAGCCUAACAAC
ensembl:snoRNA Gm26273 small nucleolar RNA SNORA17